rnacentral:rRNA from 1 species
UACGAAGGGGGCUAGCGUUGCUCGGAAUCACUGGGCGUAAAGCGCACGUAGGCGGAUUGUUAAGUCAGGGGUGAAAUCCUGGAGCUCAACUCCAGAACUGCCUUUGAUACUGGCGAUCUCGAGUCCGGGAGAGGUGAGUGGAACUGCGAGUGUAGAGGUGAAAUUCGUAGAUAUUCGCAAGAACACCAGUGGCGAAGGCGGCUCACUGGCCCGGUUCUGACGCUGAGGUGCGAAAGCGUGGGGAGCAAACAGG